AUUUAAAAACACUGUCCUAUACUUGCCUUAUGGGACACUAUUCAGGGCUGUCCUGAGAUAACAUAGUUUAUGUCAGAAGCAGGACCUGAAGUAAUCUUACCUUCUAGUGGACUGGCUUCUUUGGAAUCGGAUGAGGUACCUACAACAAAGAGCCCCUUGUGCUCUCCUUCUCUGCUUCCUUGGACUGCUGGCACCCUCAAUUGAUCUCAUUCUGUCACCCAGGUUGGGCUGACUGCAACCUCUGCACCCAUGGCUCAAGCGAUCCUCCUACCUCAGCCUCCCGAGUAGCUGGGACCACAGGUAUGUACCACCACGCCUGGCUUUUCUCUCUCUCUUUUCUUUUUUUUUUUUUUGUAUUUUCAGUAGUGACAGAGUCUUGCCAUUGUUGCCCAGGCUGGUCACAAACUCCUGGGCUCAAGCUGUCUGCCUGCCUUGGCUUCCCAAAGUGCUGGGAUUACAGGCGUGAGCCACUGCACCCAGCCGGUUUUUAAACUUUUAUUCUUGGGCUAGCUCUGCAAAAUUUGUGGUUGGUAUCUAUUGGCAAAGACCAAAUGAGAGCAAGAAAAAGCAUAUAGAAGGAAAAUACAAAUAUCUGGAUGAUAACAAAGUGUAUUGCAAAAGUCACUGGUCAAGGGAGUCAAGUGGGCCCUGGGUUGAUAUUGGAAAAAUUACUUCACUCCUCUGAACUUGAAUUAAUUAAUCAAUAAGAUGAUAUUCCAGGAGUUCCCUUCCAGUGGCAAAAUUCUAUCAUUAACUAUGGGGUACCUUUUGCUUCUAUCAAAUUAACAAAACUUACAGAGUUUGGAACGGAGGAUGGGGGGGAUGCAUAACCCUUUCUAAGGUUCAUAAAAUUCAUACUCUCAUUUACAGCCUGGGUGGGCAGAACAGAAUGGAGAACUGCUAUAAAUUAGUAUAACUCUUUACAAGGAAAAUUUGGUAAAAUACAUCCAGAACAUGAGACUCAAACAGUGGUUCAAAGUUGGCAAUCUCUAAUUUUCAGAAUGGCAAAGUUCCAAUGCCCAUUUAGUUAAGUUGUUUAACAUAGUUAUCUUAUAUGUAGUUGUCUGAAAGGGUGUUACGAGAAUUAAAUUAAAUUCAGGUAAAGGCCUGCCCCACUAACAACCUGGCCCUUGGUAAGUACUGAAAACAUGUAAGUUAUCAUUUUUAUUUUGUUUUUACCCAAUAACCCCACUCCUGGGAUUUAUCUCUAAGAAAUCAUUAUAAGAAAAAACAAAGGUACUUGAUAAUUUGUGGUAUCAUUGAUUGUAAUCAGAAAAAAAUAACUGAAAAAAACCUAAAUGUUCAACAACUGAAAAGUGGUAGUAAACCUGAUAGAGAAUUAAGAAGCCAUUAAAGUAAUUACUAUAAAGAGUCGACAAUAUUGUGGGAAAAUAUGAAUGAUAUAGUACUAACUGAGGAAAGCAUGAUCCAAAUUGCCUGUACAUUAUGAUUUUAACUAUAUAAAAUGUACAUACUUGUAUAUAAAGGCAAGAAAAGAUGGAAAACUGUAGUCAAUAUUUGAAUAAACUGAAUAAUGUUUCUCCUUUAAUUUUUUUCAAGAUUAGCAUGGUAUUGUUAAAUAAUGCAUUGUAAAACAAAUAAGUAAAUAAAAACGAACGAACAAAUGAAACAAAACAAAAGACAAAACCCUUCCAGGUAAAGGAUAACAUUAAUAACUGCUAGUUUUAACUCCCUUGGGGUUGUAAAAGGGGCACCAAGCCCAGGGCAUCCUACUAGCUAGGUGGAGCCUUACACAUACCGAUACUGUGCACACAGGAUGAUUAGAGGAUAUGCUUUUGACAUGGCUAUUUUAGUGACAGGACUAGAUUGUAAACAUUUCUGAUCACUCCAUCAAAGUAUUU
rnacentral:lncRNA from 10 species